CCUGGGACGAGGAAGAACAGUGGUUAGGCUGGCUACCGAGGAGACAGACUCAGGACAGUCAGGGGCGUGGGUGGGGAUGUCUCUAUCUGUAGAGUUCUAGGAGCACAAGGACACUGGAGUUCUUGCUGAUGGUGAUGGAACAGGGUGCCCUUGUCAGUAGGGUGACCAGGGACACCGGGACAGAAGGAUAUGUCGAUGCUGGCUGGGAUUAGGGGAUAAUAGGAGACUAAUAUCUUCGCGUCGUACUGGGCACAGAGGACAUGAGGAAAGGACCUGGGGGCCCCUCUAGGUUUUGCAGUGAAAGGAGUACAAUAGAAGGCAUGGGCAUAAAUGACUCUGGGUCCUGAGUUUUUCUUCUUUUUCCACUUGUUAGUGGGGGGCCCUUGCUGGGGCUUGGCCUCAAUGUCUUUCUUUCCAAAUGGAGGAGAAUAACAGCUGUUCUUCAUAAUUUGUAGGGGAGACAUGGCUCAACCGAGGUGCCUCUUGUCACCUGAGGAGUCCUACCAAUGUUCUAGGCCACUGUUAUUAGCAAUAGGAACCCCUCACUGGAAAAAGGGGAGGAGUUUGGUGGGCCCCACUUUAGGACCUAAAAGCAAGACCUUGGUGGGGGAGGUUUGCUUUCUGAGCCUGGGGACCUGCCUUGAGACCGUCACAGCCGCACUCCCCCCGAGAUGCCUGCUCACCUCAUCGGGACCACAGGCGCAGCGUCACGAACAGGUUAAACCCGGCCACUUUCAGGAGGAGGACGCGCAGCCCCAUCACUAGCAGGUUGUGGGCGUUUAGGUUCAUAUCUGCAAAGCCGAGAGGUUAUUGGCAUGUACCCUGGAGGUCCGCACAGCCCUGUGACCCACCCGUGGUUUCCCCAAAAGGUGACUGCGGGGGGUUAGUUCCUGGCCCACCUCUCCCUUUCAGCUUGGGUGCACAUCCCUUCGUAAGCAUAUUUUUAUAUUCCUCCAGGGCCACCAGUAUUCCGUGUCAAAGGGAAACACCAACUGCACUCGGUCCUUAUUCUAUGUCUGCAUCCCUCAGGAGCGGGGAUGGGUUGGGGCUCAGAACUCAUUGUAAUCCCUUGGGUCAGGGCCCCUGAGUGAGAAGGUGGUGCCUGGACCCCAAGAGGGACCAUUCAAUGAAAACGGCUCCGAUGGAAAUGGACGGGCCCAGGGCAGGCGGCCGGGAGUGGUGGGGAUCCUGAGAGCCAAGACCCCUGCCUACGUGAAUUCUGCUGCUUUUCUUGAAAGAAGGCAGAAGCCCAGCUACCGCUACAGAGGGAACAGGCCCUCGGGAGGAGCUGGGGAGCUCGGGGCUCCGCAUAAGCCAGUCGGAAAUAUCACAGCUGGGCCACUGAGAAACUCUCUUUGGUUCUCCAGAGCCCUAGGAGUGAGUCAUGGGGUCUAGGGAAACCAGAGACACAGCCUGAAAGUCCUUGGAGGGGGAAAGAACAUUAGAGAUGGACGUGCUGCAACCCGCCAGGAUGGAGCUCGCUGGUGCUCGGUAACAAGAGCGGAGGGGCUUUGCUGACAAUGGAUGAGGCCGAGACCACCCAUCAGAACAGAUUUUAGGAGGGGGUGCCUGGGUGGCACAGUGGUUAAGCAUCUGCCGUCGGCUCAGGGCGUGAUCCCGGCGUUAUGGGAUCGAGCCCUACAUCAGGCUCCUCCGCUAUGAACCUGCUUCUU